ACUAGGUUCACUUGUCAAACCAGCAGGCUCAUGGAGACAAUGUGGCGUUUAUUUGACUCAUCCAACAUGUCCUGAGAGGGACAUAUUUUGAGUGUUUAUCAUCCGAAGAAGACAUUCAUCUAAUGUCUUGUUGUGUAACAUCCUAACAUCUGCAGUCUUGAAAUCCGGGUGGAGGUGUGCUCAACUGAAUUCUGGUUUGCCUUCAUGUGACUAGACGUCAAAACGCUGGAAUGAUGUAAUGCUGUAAGAAACAUCCAAGGAGCAACUACCGGGUGGCGUCCAAUGUUGACAUCCAUUGGAGGAGGUCCAACCCUCUCUGCUGGUUCAGGACUGACCUGGUGCCUCAGUAACGAUGAGUCUGGUGGGAAUACUGGGAGCUCUGUUGAGAUGACGACGUGUACCCCAUGGUGCUCUGCGGCUGAUUAGAACCUUGGACAUUGCUUUGGUAACCAUGGCGGGAUGUGGAGUGCUGAAGAGGAAAUCACAUUAGUGAGCAGUUCACCACCAUGGUUUAAUAUAAAUCCAUGUAAUCCAGACUGAAUAAAUAUUUAUGCUACGCUUUUGCAGCCUAUUAUGUCAGGAUUGAAACCGUGGCCUGCGGGUAUGGAAUCAAUGACAGAGAAAAAGUAGGACAACAGUGACAGCAAUGUCACACGUUGCUGACGGUUAAGCAAUAAUAACAUCUGUUGCUAGCUGACAGCUAGCAUGUGUCGCGUGUCUUUUAUAGAAGCUAUUUUGCUCAUGUGUGACCGAAAAAACGGAAUUCUUCACCUCUUACCCAGAAGGCACCACGUGAUGUGUUAUCAGCUUUGUCUACCGGAUAUUCGGGUAUGUACAGUAUCACUUGACUAUUGUUCUUUACUUAUCAUGUGUCUGUCCGAUGCAGCAGUGCCUUGAGAUGUCAGUUUUGUAAUUUUUGUUCCCACAUAUGAAUCUCAAAACAUUCCUAUCUCCUGUUUCCCCUUUCAAAUGAAUAGAAAUGCCUCUGGCCUCCUCCUCCUAGAAAAAACAACACUAUGUAUUGUACUUUAUAAAACCAAAAUAGAUCCCGUGGCUGCAUGUUA